UACGUAGGCAGCGAGCGUUGUUCGGAAUUACUGGGCGUAAAGAGUGUGUAGGCGGUGCUCUAAGUUCGGUGUGAAAUCUCCCGCUUAACUGGGAGGGUGCGCCGGAAACUGGAGUGCUCGAACGUGGGAGAGGAAAGCGGAAUUCCCGGUGUAGCAGUGAAAUGCGUAGAGAUGUGGAGGAACACCGAUGGCGAAGGCAGCCCCCUGGGUCAAGAUUGACGCUCAUGCACGAAAGCGUGGGGAGCAAACAGG
rnacentral:rRNA from 1 species